UACAGAGGGUGCGAGCGUUGUUCGGAAUUAUUGGGCGUAAAGGGUGCGUAGGCGGUUUGGUAAGUCUGAUGUGAAAUCUAUGGGCUCAACUCAUAGUCUGCAUCGGAAACUGCCGGGCUUGAGUGUGGGAGAGGUGAGUGGAAUUCCUGGUGUAGCGGUGAAAUGCGUAGAUAUCAGGAGGAACACCAGUGGCGAAGGCGGCUCACUGGACUGGUAUUGACGCUGAGGUGCGAAAGCGUGGGGAGCAAACAGG
rnacentral:rRNA from 1 species